rnacentral:tRNA from 1 species
GCCAUGGUGGUGGAAUGGUAGACACGAGGGACUUAAAAUCCCUUGCCCAUUGCGGGCGUGUGGGUUCAAGUCCCACCCGUGGUA